UCCAUUUCUCCUUUCCCAGCCGCGUCCUCUUCUCUCUCCCCCCGACACUCUCUCUUCUUCCCUCUGCAACCACCGGAAAACACCGGUUCCAGCCGCCACCUCCUAACACCGCCACCAGAAAUCGAACCAGCACCCAAUUCUGAUCUAAACCUAUCAAGAAUCACCGACAUGCACCGUCGGUAGCCUCCACCUCGACAACCCACGGCUGCGACACCACUGUUCUUCGAGCCUCGCCAGUUUCCGGCGAUUUCCUUGCCCUUCUGCCGCCAUCCUUCUACUCAGCAAGCAAGGCGGAGCAAAACCCCGAAGCCCCUCUGCCCACCGAUGCCUGACGACGCCGUUCGAACAUCACCGGAGCUCUCGGCUCCCCAUGUCUUUGUUUUCCGGUCUCCAAUCCGAAAAGAGCCAAACCACCACCAUACCUGGGGUCAGCACCUCAAGGUCUAGAAGAAUAGCCCCUAACCUGGACCUCUGAUUUCGACCAGAGCCACCCAGCACCGCCUUGAGAGCCACUAACUUACCUCUUUCGUCUGGUAAGCUCGAUUUCGUCACCUUGUUUAGUGUUGAGGCCUUUGUUUAAUUUCGCAAAGAAGUGGGUUUCUAACUUAGAUUUUCUGGAUUGGAGUUUGGAACCCCAAGCUCAGAGGUGAAUGGAGACAGGAGCUCAAUACGGAUUCUGGAGGGGUUGUGGAUUUCUGCGUUUUUGGAGUGUUGGAGGAGAAGGAGCUGCCGGGUUAAUUUCAGUUGAAAUUGGGAAGGUAAGAAUUCAAGAAUUCAGUGUUGGGUAUGAGUUUGGUUAAGAAUUGAAUUAAAGGUCAUAAUUCUGUCGUUUAUUUGAAUUAUGUGAGGAUUUGGUGGAUUUCUGCAUUCUGUGAAGUUUUGGAGAAAAGAGAAGUUGUUGGGUCAAUUCGAUUGAUGUCAAGAAAUGGAAUUUGAAUGAUUGGUGAUGUUGGAAUUGCAGCAAUUGGAAUUGACUUCUAGUUUGGAAAAGAAGAAUGGACUCGAGAGUGUGCACUUGGAUUUGAACAAAUGAUCGAAAGUCGAGAACGAACCUGAAUGUGGAUGAGCACUCCAAUUCCAGAUUCCUAGGGAUCCCACGGUGUCGAUAACCGUGAACCUCCGAAGGGGGCCGUGCCCCUAUGUUUGUCAAGGAAAGAUAAGUAUAGACAGUGAACCAGUCAUUGGAGACUCAGGGCCAGGAAAUGGACACUUUCGCUACUUUUAGUCAGAAGUACUACAGAGUAGUUGGCCGGUUCUCGAAUUCAGGAUGAACCAGGUCGGUCACCGAUUUGUUUUAUUUUAGCCGGCCGUGUGCAGGUUUUGAGCAUGUGGUCGGGAAACGUAUAGGAGAGGCACAUGGCCCGGCUUGGCGUAUUCCUCUUUGUCUUUACUAAACGGGAAAUCCUGCAGGUCUGGAAAAUCAGGGCGGUGAUCGUGCGGGUUAGAGUAUUUGUUUUGGUUUUACAGUUUUUGUAAAUUGUGAGUUUUGUUAUGUUCAUUUCGAACUUUACAAUUUGGAUUUUGUGAGAGUGUGCUGUAAUAAGAAAUUGAGGAGUUGGCUUUUGUAAUAUUGAGUCGUGUGAAGCGUGUUACUUUGAAAGAAAAAUUUAGAUUGGUAUUUGUAUUUGUAAUUAUUCAUGUUUCGGAUUUGAAUUGAUUAUUCAAAAUUCGAGGUGUGACAACACAGUUCAACCAAAUCUGCAACUCUGCAAGAGUUCAAAGAACACGAACAGAAGCCUUUGCUCUACUGCCCAGGCUGAGUCUCGGAGGCCUAUAUGUUCGCAGGGCCUAUUAUGGUGUGUUAAGAUUUGUCAUGGAAAGUGGUGCAAAGGAGGAUGCGAGGGACGUUGACGCAAACCACUUUAGUUUUCAAUCUGUGUUUUCAGGAUGAUGAGAGUUUUUAUUUUUAUUUUUUUAUCGUCUCUUUUCUUAAUACAGUCCCACCCCCAGAAUGACCUAAUCAAUAAAUAUCCAAAUAUCACCUCGCGGGUCAAGAAGAACCCACCCACCCAUAUCUCUCUUGCCAGUGGUGCAAAGGUGGAUUUGGAUAGGCGAUUGCAUGUUCGGAGAAAAUAUCAAAUUCUGAUGUUUAGUAUCAAAAACAAAGUCAAAUGACGAGUCUUGAGAUCUCAGAAGGAGCCUGCAAAGCCAGCUUCAGUUAAGAGCAAUGCUGUCAAAGACGAUGCCCCAGAGGAUGAUCAUGACAGUGACGAUUAAGAUGAUGAAACCCCUACCCCUAAGAAGCCUGGAUCUAAGAGAAGAGCCCAAGCCUCUGAUGCACUCCAGUUUCUGCUAAGAAGGCAAAGAUAGAUACUGAUGGUGAGAAGGGUGCCCACAGCAAUACGCCACACCCUACAGAGAAGGGAAAGACACCUGCUACUGAUAAGCAACUCCAAAGUCUGUCAUUUGGUUCUGAUGGUGGUCUUCAGUCUCAAAACAAGGACAAUGAUAGUGCUAAAAUGUAGAAUGGAGAUGUUGCUGAAGCACGGGCUUGUUUUUGAUAUAUACAAUUAUAUUGGCAAGGAGAGUAUACGGGAGAUUAUGUUAAAAGGGUUUUGGCAUUAGUGGAUUGUCCUCGACAGUAUUGCUCAAUGGUUUAUAUAUAAAGGGUUUUCAAGUAGGCGUUAUGUUUAAAUCCCUAUUUCUUUCUGUUUACUUUAAAUUGGUAUCCUUAAAACCUCGUCAUACUGUUGGUGUUCUAUUCUUGAAGGUCUCCAUAUUGACUUGCUCCUUGCCCUUCUAUUUAGCUUUCAAAUUGGAGACUUUCUGAAACCAAUUUGGUAGAGAUCUCAAGUUCGAA